UACAGAGGGGGCAAGCGUUGUUCGGAAUUACUGGGCGUAAAGGGCGCGUAGGCGGCCACCUAAGUCAGACGUGAAAUCCCUCGGCUCAACCGGGGAACUGCGUCUGAUACUGGGUGGCUUGAAUUCGGGAGAGGAAUGCGGAAUUCCAGGUGUAGCGGUGAAAUGCGUAGAUAUCUGGAGGAACACCGGUGGCGAAGGCGGCAUUCUGGACCGACAUUGACGCUGAGGCGCGAAAGCUAGGGGAGCAAACGGG
rnacentral:rRNA from 1 species